rnacentral:rRNA from 1 species
AAUAUUUGACAAUGGGCGAAAGCCUGAUCCAGCCAUGCCGCGUGUGUGAAGAAGGUCUUCGGAUUGUAAAGCACUUUAAGUUGGGAGGAAGGGGUUGAAGCUAAUACCUUCAAUCUUUGACGUUACCAACAGAAUAAGCACCGACUAACUAUGUGCCAGCAGCCGCGGUAAUACGAAGGGUGCAAGCGUUAAUCGGAAUUACUGGGCGUAAAGCGCGCGUAGGUGGUUUGUUAAGUUGGAAGUGAAAGCCCCGGGCUCAACCUGGGAACUGCUUUCAUAACUGCUGAGCUAGAGUACGGUAGAGGGUGGUGGAAUUUCCUGUGUAGCGGUGAAAUGCGUAGAUAUAGGAAGGAACACCAGUGGCGAAGGCGACCACCUGGGCUAAUACUGACACUGAGGUGCGAAAGCGUGGGGAGCAAACAGG